rnacentral:rRNA from 1 species
AUACGGAGGGUGCAAGCGUUACUCGGAAUCACUGGGCGUAAAGGGCGCGCAGGCGGUUUUACAAGUCAGAUGUGAAAGCCCACGGCUCAACCGUGGAAGUGCAUUUGAAACUGUAAGACUUGAGUAUCAGAGGGGAAGGUGGAAUUCCCGGUGUAGAGGUGAAAUUCGUAGAUAUCGGGAGGAAUACCGGUGGCGAAGGCGACUUUCUGGCUGAAUACUGACGCUGAGGCGCGAAAGCGUGGGGAGCAAACAGGAUUAGAAACCCUAGUAGUCC